CCUACGGGUGGCAGCAGUGAGGAAUAUUGGUCAAUGGACGAGAGUCUGAACCAGCCAAGUAGCUUGAAGGAUGACUGCCCUAUGGGUUGUAAACUUCUUUUAUAUGGGAAUAAAAUGUUCCACGUGUGGGAUUUUGUAUGUACCAUAUGAAUAAGGAUCGGCUAACUCCGUGCCAGCAGCCGCGGUAAUACGGAGGAUCCGAGCGUUAUCCGGAUUUAUUGGGUUUAAAGGGAGCGUAGGUGGAUUGUUAAGUCAGUUGUGAAAGUUUGCGGCUCAACCGUAAAAUUGCAGUUGAAACUGGCAGUCUUGAGUACAGUAGAGGUGGGCGGAAUUCGUGGUGUAGCGGUGAAAUGCUUAGAUAUCACGAAGAACUCCGAUUGCGAAGGCAGUUCACUGGACUGCAACUGACACUGAGGCUCGAAAGUGUGGGUAUCAAACAGGAUUAGAUACCCUAGUAGUC
rnacentral:rRNA from 1 species